rnacentral:lncRNA from 1 species
AGCAGCUGCGUCAUUAUUCCUGAAAAACCGGACAUUUCCUAGCUGCAGGCUCCGGACAGAGGGCUGCCAGCCCCAGCUCAGCACAAGACACCCUCUUGGGGCAGGAAGGUGGUAACUGGUCCACAGAGCUGUGCGGUUCUUUACCCACUCCAAGGGCACCAUGGAAUGAACUGACUACUGCGGUCACCAUCAGCUCCUCCCAGAAACUGCAGUCAUCAUAGACCAAGGUUUAGCAAACAGACCAGCACUCAGCAUACCGUGAGUACUUAGUGCUCAGUGCUCAGUGCUGCUGUGUCCUGUUCAGGAGGCCUCCGUGCACCCCAGUUCAGGAAGAUGGCCC